UAUUUUUUCCAUCUCAAUUUUCUCUUUUUUUUUUCCUAUCUUCUCAUUUUCUCUUCCUCCCUCCUCUCCAAAUUUCAUAGCAAAGGAAGUUGAGGGUUUUAUCAUCCAAGUCUUUGUGGGCGGAUGAUUUCUAGCUAAAGGAGCUCAAUUUCAAGAUUCAAUCAUCAAGGUUAAUAGCAUGAGCAGUUCGAGGAGCACCGUCACAGUAGGACUUCCAACAUCUCUUUCAGGGUAUCGUACCAUAUCUUAGUGAG